AAAAUAACACGUUCUGGUCUGGUGGUCAUUGGCUAAUGAUAGGGGACUCGUACUAUUCCAAGCUGACCGUUCUCAUCUUCAGAUAGAUCUGACAGUUACGAUGUGAUCUUUCUAAACACUGAUCUAAAAUCUUUCUCCCUGUACCUUGUAGGAUGCUGACACUUUCUGGGUGUCCACACCCUGAAAGUAGACCUCACAAAUGAUGAAAUGGAUGGAGGCUGCCCAGAGCUGGAAGUAGCUGCAGCUGGCUCACAUGAGGGAAGAGUGUGCACAUCAAGGCUUUGGCAACAGCAAUUGACCACUCAGAGGAAACUUGGGGCUACAGACCACGACAAGGAAUACUCCCUAUUAUCUCUGGUUCUGGCUCCUACCUGAGCUUUGAAGGAGACAAGUGGAGAAGUAAAUGAGAGAGACAAGUCACAAGACAUGGCCAUCUUGGUACCCAGAAGAUUUAUUAAUCAACUGUAACUGCCAACCAAGUUAAAAGAACCAUCUGACCUUGAAGAGAGUAUCUCAAGGCAAUACAACAAAUUUUUAUGGAUCCAAGUAAACAAUAAUUCAUUCUACUGUUUCUUUCCUGUGAGUAAUACUAGACACUACCACUUCCAUGGUGUGCUCUGAGAUUAUUUUCAGAAUUGAAAAGAUUUCCAACACUAAACAUCGGCAACCAGAAUAAUUAAAAUGAAUACAAAUAUGAGUUGUAUUCCUUGGAUCUCUCCUAAUAUCUAAAUUUCUAAUACUGGCACUACUACUGUUUAAAGGCAAAAUGAGAUACGUGUUUAAAUUUCAGCUUGAAGGAUA